ACGUCGAAAUUCAACUGCAUUUCCCAUAAUUCCUUGUUUCCGGAUUCGGAAAUCUGAAACGGGAAACAUGCGAAGAGUGAGCCGGAGAGCCUGCGAGGAGGGCCCCCUGCUGGAGGAGCAGGAGACAGAGGGCCAAAGGCAGCUUCACAGCCUGCUGCUGCAGCAGCUCCACACCGGCGUCGACGUUGACCGAUGUGUAGCAAAGAGGCAGUGCUUCGCCCCGGCGUCUCUCUAUCGGCCGUUUGGGGAGCAAGCAGCAGGAGUAAGGAGCCUCUCCCAGUUUCAGGCCCUGCAGGAUGGGGAGAAGGAACUGGUCGGCCUCCAGGAACUGGGACUCACUGACGCUGAGAUCCAGCUGUGGCAGAACAGAGAUGCACCAGACAUGUCAGGAGACAAGUCCAGCGGUGUGUGUGCGGCUCCGGACGCGAGGCGGCAGCGUCUGCAAGCCAUCAGGGACAAGAUCGAAGCCAGAGCGGAGCUGCUGUCCCGACCGCAGCGCUUCUCCGCCAGCCGACCGCUCUCACGCCGGGAGAUGGAGAUCGAACAAGCACUGUUCCAGGGGACCGACCGGCUGGGUUUCCUCACAGCUCUCUACCACCGAGAUGGUGACACAGAGGAGAGCCAGCAGGGGGCAUCAUCCUCUGACCCAAUGGACUCACUCUACAGAGAUGUUCUGAGGUGUCAGAAACACAUUUCACCAGAGGACUCUGAGGGACAACAAGCAGUGGGAUCAGCAUCUGGCCAAUCUGACCAAUCACAAAGCUCUCAGAGCCUUUCACCUCGCCACGGGUCAGAUCUGCAGAGCAAAGACACAUCAGAGCAUCAGCAGGACGGAGCAGAAACAAACCCACCAGCUCCUCCUGAACGGAUAGAUCUCAACCAGCAAAUUGGCAGACUCAGCGGAGCAUCGGCAGCGAAGUCAGAAAAACUGCUAACAGUCAGCGGGGAGGUCAAGACGCUUCCAGAGGAAGAAAUCCUGAACAACCGUGAAUCUGACGAGGGGAUCCGGAGCAUGGCACGGUUCCAAAACUACCAGCCGGGAAAACCUUCCAAGGUUCUGUGUGUGAAGAACCUGAGUGUGCAGGCGUCCAUCGCACAGCUGGUGGCGCUGUUCUCUAGAUUUGAGCAGAAGGACGGGCCUCCAGUUGUGUAUCGGCUGCUGACAGGAAGGAUGAAGGGCCAGGCCUUCAUCACGCUGCCAGAAUUUAAAUCGUAGUACACUUCAUGUAAUAGAACAGGGUCCUGCAGAAGAUAGUAAGAGGAGCUGACUGGAAGUAAAUCAAAUGUGGUUCAGGGGUGUGCAAACUUAUGCAAUCCAGCAGCUCUAUUAUUAGGUUUUGGUACAGAUUAUCAGAACCAGGCAGAAAAGAAGAACCAGAAUAAAGAGAAGAAACAGGUUGGAAACGUCACUAGAUUCAAAUAUCAGGCUUCAGUAUCUUAAUCUUAGCAUGUUAUACAUUCCAAAUAUAUACUACUCAAAAAAAUAAAGGGAACAUUUCACUUUAAUUUUGUGUG